CGGGAAGGCGGGUCCGUCGCUUCCGCACGCAUGAGGCGGAAGAGGAAAGUCCGGGCAACACAGAGCGCCGCACUCCCCUCGGGGAGCUAUCGGCAACGGUAGAGUAAUGUGACAGAAAACAACCGCCCACCCGGCGCCCCCGGGCGCCGGAGGCAAGGAUGAAAAGGUGGGGUAAGAGCCCACCGGGUGCCACAGCGAUAUGGCAUGCCGCACAUCUUGCGGGUUGCAAGGUCAAGUACACCGGCAGGGAGCUUCGGCUCCGACGGGCUGCUCGCCCGGUGCCGGGGGGUAGACUGCUCAGAUAAAUGACGGACGGGCCGGCGAUGUUCUCCCCCGCGGGGACAGGUCGCCGCCCACAUAACCCGGCUUAUACGCCGUCCCGCGCG
rnacentral:RNase_P_RNA from 1 species